CCUCAGAGAAGGUCUGCUAGACUAUCAGCGGUAAGUUAUCUUGUUAUUAAAGAGAUUUUUACCAUUAUAUCAUUAUUUUGUUUUUAAAACUUUUCUGAUCUCAAAAGACUUGAGGAACUUUAAAUAUAGCUUGGAAAUUGUUUUUAGCACUUCUUGUGUUAAUUGAAAAUUGAAAUCCUACAACCAACACUUCUCAGAGCAACAAGGUCAGAAAACAUAAUAUCUGCCCAAGUUUUUUUUUUUUUUACAGCAUAGUUUUGCCAGUCAUUUAAGAAGAUGUGCUGAAUUCAGGAUAGAGCAGAACAACAUAGGCCAUUAUGUGCAUUAUUUCAACGUGUAUUGUUUAGAUAUCCUUUUAUAUAUCAAAAAGUACGUUUGUGAAUGAAUCCCUUCAGAAACCAACACCUCCAAAACCUGAACCCAAACCAAAAAAAACUCCCAAGAAAGAGAAGGAAGUGAACGAUAAAAAGGAAGACAAGAAGGCAAAGGCAAAGGCUGAGGAGUCCAAGGAGGAGAACCAAUCAGAAAAUGGGGAGACUAAGACCAAUGAGGUUGAGAAAACUCCAGAUGAGGCGGCAGAGGCCGAGGACGACCCGAAGACAGAGUAGCACCACGCCUGUCCAUCCAUCCGUCCAUCCUUUCCCUUUCCCCUCUUUCCUUUAUCUUCCUCUAUCUUUCCCAAUAUUCUCUCUCCCUCUCCAGCUCUCUCAACAACCUCCUCUCUGCCCAUCACCACCAGAGGAAUAUUUUUAUCAGCGAAUUUGUAAAUACUGGUUCAGGUUUUUAGCACAAAAAACAAAGCUGACUAAACGAGUCUUGUGUUCGGCCGCAGCUGUAUCAGGUGUCUACAACACGAGAGGUGUGAAAAAAGGCGGCGUCUUUCUUUCGUUUUGUUGAUUUUCUGUUUUUAUCUCUUCUUUCUUUUUUUUCAAGCGGAUGGUCUGUAGCUUGGUUUUGGAGUGGGAGGUGGGAGGAGGCUCUCAGUCUGUAUGUCCGUUAGUGCUCGUGAUGUUGCUCUGGAGUCUGUGAUGUUUCUGUAUGGGGUUUGUUUUAUUUUUCUUUUAAACGUAAUUGAUUGUCUUUAAGAAAGAGGAACGAGUUCAACAAAUGUAGAAGAAAAGAGAGAAAACAACUAAAGACAAACUGCUUACAUUCCAGGUUCAGCAUUAGAUGGUGACUCCUGGCUUUUUAAGAAUCAUACCACCUUUGCAAUUUGUUGAAACAUAACUGGGCUUCGUUAGGAGGCCGGAAAAAACCCUUCUGUUGUUAUAGAGGACUUUUUUUGAAAUGACGGGAUUCAAAGAAAACGAAUUUAAAGCGUUUUUUGGAAUUUUUUUAACACUGAAAAUUCAUCUGUGAAAAAGUACUUAGUGUCCCCUAAUAAUGCUCUCGGUCUCAAUAAAAAUCCAUAAUUGGAAUUUUCCUCAUAAUGUCUGCUGUGGUCUUUUACACUGACUGUAUAUUAUA
rnacentral:lncRNA from 1 species